AGAGUUUGAUCAUGGCUCAGAAUCAACGCUGGCGGCGUGCCUAACACAUGCAAGUCGAACGAGAGAGUGGAGCAAUCCAUGAGUAAAGUGGCGCACGGGUGAGUAACACGUGACUAACCUACCUUUGAGCGGGGGAUAACCUAGGGAAACCUGGGCUAAUACCGCAUAAUACCUACGGGUCAAAGCAGCAAUGCACUUAAAGAGGGGGUCGCGGCAGAUUAGCUAGUUGGUGAGGUAAUGGCUCACCAAGGCUAUGAUCUGUAUCCGGCCUGAGAGGGCGCACGGACACACUGGAACUGAAACACGGUCCAGACUCCUACGGGAGGCAGCAGUGGGGAAUUUUGCGCAAUGGGGGAAACCCUGACGCAGCAACGCCGCGUGGAGGAUGAAAUCCCUUGGGAUGUAAACUCCUUUCGAUCGGGACGAUAAUGACGGUACCGGAAGAAGAAGCCCCGGCUAACUUCGUGCCAGCAGCCGCGGUAAUACGAGGGGGGCAAGCGUUGUUCGGAAUUAUUGGGCGUAAAGGGUGCGUAGGCGGUUUGAUAAGUCUGAUGUGAAAUCUAUGGGCUCAACCCAUAGUCUGCAUCGGAAACUGUCAGGCUUGAGAAUGGGAGAGGUGAGUGGAAUUUCCGGUGUAGCGGUGAAAUGCGUAGAUAUCGGAAGGAACACCUGUGGCGAAAGCGGCUCACUGGACCAUUUCUGACGCUGAUGCACGAAAGCUAGGGGAGCAAACAGGAUUAGAUACCCCGGUAGUCC
rnacentral:rRNA from 1 species